CUCCAAAGCACCCACCAGCGAUGACGAGGCGGCAACUGACGAGGCUCCGUUGAGAGGAGGAGAAGAGGGAGACAGCGGAAGGAGGAGGCGGAAAAUGAGAAAAUAGAGAAAAAGAGGGGAUGGGAGGCGCCGGUGUUGGGUGGUCGGAGAGAGGAGAGGCGGUGGAAUGAAGGCCGCGCGAGGGGGGAAAGAGCGCGAGGGA
rnacentral:lncRNA from 1 species